CGAUGGCGCUCACCAGACGACCCACCCGCGUGCCUUGUCGCCCCGAGCCCCAGCGCGCUCCCCGCAACCGCGCCAGCGUCACGCCGUAGCAGCCGAGCACGGUCCCAAAAGGCAGGACGAAGGCAGUCAGGGUCUCCAGGCUCAGAUGAGCUGCAGCGUGCACGGCCGAUGGGUGGCACAAUUGACACACGCGAUCACCCCAGAGGUGGCGGUAGACCGCGGCCGGGACGGCGAGCACCAGGGCGGCCAGCCAGACCCCCAGCAGCAGGCGGCGGGCCAGGGCCGGGCUGCGAAGUCGGGGAGCCAGGAAAGGCCGAGUGACCGCUAGACAGCGCUGCAGGCUGAGCAGGCCGGUGAGCAGCACGCUGGCGUACAUGCUGAGCGCGCACACGU
rnacentral:lncRNA from 1 species